rnacentral:lncRNA from 1 species
UCAUGCGGUUUCUAUUGGUCUCAUAAACUCACAGAGUCACAAACACCACCAUGAAAGCACAAACCCCCUCUCCCCUCACGUUUUUCCUCUAUUCUUAUUCACAUUCCAAGACUCACUUCUCCCACAUCCUAUGUAUUCGACAUGGAUAGAUGCCUUCGCUGCUGUCACAUAAACGCCACCGUUAGUUAGUAAAAAAUGAUUGGAAAAAAUGAACAUUUUUUAUGUUAUAUGAUACUGUAUAUAUAUAAUAGAAAUGAAAUGCAAUAUAUAUUAUGUUUCCUAUUAUUCAAUCUGUAAAAUCAGCACCGCGACUACCAUCAUCACCAGUUGUUUCAUCAUUGCCACCGUCUUCUCUCCACUGCCGUCUCCACCCACAUGAGAUACCACGCCAAUCAAUACGUAAAAAAAAGAUUGUUAAAUUUUUUUCUAAAGUAUAUUA